AGACCGAGAGAGAGGGAGAGAAACAGAAAGCUUGAGAGAAGAGCCGUGCGGUGGGCUAGCCACCGUUUGGGGCGGACGACGGCGCCGGGUCGGGUGGGUCGCGGCCCAACGCCAGUGAGGCAAAAAUCUUGGAGUUCUGGCAUUUUCUCGGUAGCCAAGCAGUAGAAAAUCCAUUUUUUUUUUGGCUAUUGAAGUCCGAUUUGAGCACCUAAACGUUGAAGCAGAAGUUCAUGUAGGAGGCAGAGCCUUGCCUUCCUUCUUUAACUUCAUUAUAAACAUCCUAGAGAUGAAUGAAAUGUAAUGGCAAGGGAAAGAUAUAUGCUCUGCCUAUUAAGGUCAAUGUUUUGUAUUCAUUUAUAUAAUCAUCAUAGGUAAAGUAUACAGUCUCAGAAUAUUUGUCUUCCGUAAUUUUCUUGAGUUCUUUGGCAGCAUCUGGUAAAUCGAAGCUCAUAGAUGGAGAGACAUUUUUAUAACUGCGUGGAGAAUUUGUCUGUUGAUAACUGAACUUAAUUAGUUGCUCAUUCUUUACAAGGUCUUUUGCUGUAUUA